CUUCUCGUACUGCCGAUGCUGCUAGUAAUGUUGCAGUGACAGAGAACUUGGUGCUGAGGAAUGGAGCGCAAGUACGGACGGUGCUUCCGUAAUCUUAGGCGAGCUUGCGAAUCUGUAGCACCCUGGUGAUUUUAGUAGUGCUAUUAGUCAUGGGGUGAACAUGGACAGAUGAAUGCGUUGCUAAACAGGGCUUCUGAAUUUGCAUUA